UGCCAUGAUAUUGUGUCAAUAUGCGAUGAUGUGUGUGAUGGCACAGCGUCAUCACAUGGUGAUGCAACAUCAUGACGUA